rfam:Ciona savignyi cont_29477, whole genome shotgun sequence.
GCUUUUCACCAUUCCAGAUUGAAUAUACCCGAUCUCGUCUGAUCUCGGAAGUCAAGCAAUCUCGGGCUUGGUUAGUACUUGGAUAUGUGACCGCUUGGGAAUACCAAGUGUGAUAAGCA